AGUGGGAUAGUUGGAUCAAAUUGUGGUUCUAUUCCAUGUUCUCUGAGGAAUCUUCACACUGCUUUCCAGAAUGGUUGCAUCAAUUUGCACUCCCACCAGCAAU
rnacentral:pre_miRNA from 1 species